GGGAAUUUUCCGCAAUGGGCGAAAGCCUGACGGAGCAACGCCGCGUGAGGGAUGAAGGCCUCUGGGCUGUAAACCUCUUUUAUCAAGGAAGAAGAUCUGACGGUACUUGAUGAAUAAGCCACGGCUAAUUCCGUGCCAGCAGCCGCGGUAAUACGGGAGUGGCAAGCGUUAUCCGGAAUUAUUGGGCGUAAAGCGUCCGCAGGCGGUUUUACAAGUCUGUCGUUAAAACGUGGAGCUUAACUCCAUUUCAGCGAUGGAAACUGUAGAACUAGAGUGUGGUAGGGGCAGAGGGAAUUCCCGGUGUAGCGGUGAAAUGCGUAGAUAUCGGGAAGAACACCAGUGGCGAAGGCGCUCUGCUGGGCCAUAACUGACGCUCAUGGACGAAAGCCAGGGGAGCGAAAGGGAUUAGAUACCCCUGUAGUC
rnacentral:rRNA from 1 species